rnacentral:tRNA from 1 species
CGCGGCCGCCGGUGAGCAGGGCGCGCUUGCCGGUGAGGUCGGCGCGGAUGUCCCGCUUGGCGCGGUUCAGGGCCGCGCAGUCCUGGC